rnacentral:lncRNA from 1 species
UGGGUUUGUAUAUACACUACUGUAUAGGACCAUGUAUAUAUACCUAUUAUCAGUGAUAUAUACAAUUUCUUCUCUCCCAAUUGUGAUAGUCAAUGUAAAUUUUUUUUCUUAUUUGUACUUGUUUUUAUUAAUAUUGAUGAGUUUCAUCUUCAUCAAGUUUUCUUGUAAAUUAACAAGCAUGAAAGCAACUUAUCAUCGAGGCGGAUCUCUUUACGUUAUUCAAUAUUUAAGAUCUUGAUCUUGAUCUUGCAGGCUUGAUUUCCUUAAUGGUUCUUUCUUCUUUCUUGCAAAUACGGAAUGAAUUUUAUAGAGCUUUACUUGUGGUUUGCAAUUUUAUUAAGCAAUGUUUUUUUAACACACGCAAUCUCUUGCUUCUUUCAUUCAACUAUGGAGUGAAUUUUUUGGAACUUUACUUGUAGUUUGCAAUUUUAUUUACUUUUUCUUAAGACACAUAGCCUGCACACACACUCACACUCACACUCACACCCCCACUAAUGUAUAAGAAUGGGUUUGUAUAUACACUUCUGUAUAAGACCAUAUAUAUACCUAUUAUCAGUGAUAUAUACAGUUAUUAGCUCAAUUUGUGUAUGUACAUACCAUCGUUUUCAAAGUAUAUAUAUAUACUGAUGCAUAUAACCAUACAAUACAUUAGUUAUUAGCUAUAUAUACAGUUACUAAUGUGUAAAAAUACAUUGAUAUGUGUGUGUGUGUGAUGUCUGUAUAUGUACGAUGUGUAUACACGUAUUUGUGUGUGUGUAAAGUGCAUAAUAGUAAAUUUUCAGUGCAUUACUAUAUACGCACACUCACACUUAGGUAUAUGACCAUGUAUAUGCUUAUUAUCAGCGAUAUAUACCGUUAUUAGCUCAAUUUGCGUAUGUAUUGAUGUAUAACAAUAUAUAUCAUUGUUUUCAAAGUGUAUAUAUAUAUAUACCUAUGCAUAUAACCAUACAAUACAUUAGUUAUUCAAUAUAUAUACAGUUACUAAUGUGUAAAAAUACAUUGAUAUGUGUGUGUGUGUGUGACGUUUGUAUAUAUACGAUGUGUAUGUACGGAUUUGUGUGUUUGUGUAUAUACAGUGCAUUAAUAUAUACAUUUCUAUAUAUAUUGAUGUAUAUGAUCAUAUAUAAACUUAUUAUCAGUUUAUACAUUUAUUAACGUAUAUGUACACUGAUUUAUAUACUACACACACGCACAAACACUCACAUUCACGCACACGCACUCACACUCACACGCACACUCACACAUAUACACGCACUCACACACACACACUCGCACUCACACUCACACUCGCACUCGCACUCGCACUCGCACUCGCACUCACACUCACACUCAAACUCACACACACUCACACUCACACUCACACUCACACUCACAGAUAUAUAUAUUAUCACCUCUAAUUUGAUAUGCCUAGGCAAAAUUCCAUAUUACUUUGUAUAGAAUUAGGCAUAAGAAUGGGUAUCUUCUCUUGAUGAAUUAGGUAUGCUAAAUAUCCAAUUGUGAUAGACCAUUUAAAUAUUUUUUCUUAUUUGUACUUGUUUUUAUUAAUAUUGAAGAGCUUCAUCUGCAUCGAGUUUUCUGUUAAAUCAACGAGCAAGAAAGCAACUUAACAUCAAGGUGGAUCUCUUUACGUUAUUCGAUAUUUGAGAUCUUGAUCUUGAUUUGCUUAAUGGUUCUUUCUUCUCAUGUAUCGUACUUCUCUUUCUUCUUUUAUGCAAAUACGGAGUGAAUUUUCUGGAGCUUUAGUUGUGGUUUGCAAUUUUAUUAAGUAUUUUUCUUAACACACAAACUCUUGCUUCUUUCAUGUAAAUAUGGAGUGAAUUUUUUGGAGCUUUAGUUGUGGUUUGCAAUUUUAUUAAGUAACUUUUUCUUAACACACACACACACCACACACACACACUCACACUCACACUCACACUCACACUCACACGCACACUAAUGUAUAAGAAUGGGUUUGUAUAUACACUACUGUAUAAGACUAAGUAUAUACCUAUUAUCAGUUAUAUAUGCAGUUAUUAGCUUAAUUUGUGUAUGUAUUGAUGUAUAGCAACGUAUACCAUAUAAUAAAUUGUUAUCAACUAUUUAUACAGUUACUAGUGUGUAAAAAUACAUUGAUGUGUGUGUGUGAUGGCUGUAUAUAUACGAUGUAUAUAUACAGAUUUGUGUGUAUGUGUAAAGUACAUAACUGUAUAUUUUCAGUGCAUUAUUAUAUGCAUUUCUAUAUACAUUGACGUACAUGACUAUAUAUACACUUAUUAUCAAUUUAUACAUUUAUUAAUGUAUACAUACACUGAUUUAUAUACUACACAUAUACACGCACUCACACUUGCACUCAUACUCAUACUCACACUCACACUCACACUCACACUCACACAUACACACACUCACACUCACACUGACACUGAUAUGCGCUUGCACAUGCACACUUAUGCAUUGAUAGUGCAUACAUAAAUUUCUAUAUACACUGAUAUGUAUGAUCAUAUAGACACUUAUUAUCAAUUUAUACAGUUAGUAGUGUAUAUGUAUAUUGAAAUGUAUAUACAUACACUAAUAUGCAUAUAUAUAAAGGGUUUAU